UGGAUAGGUUAUUUUCCCGCUUCAUUUAUUCACGUGUUGAUGGACAUGGACCUUAGUGAUGAUGUUUACCCAUUAUGUGCAGAUAUUUCAUAUCAGCUAGCACUCUUCAGCACACGACAAAGUGGAGAAAAUUAUGGGUGACCCUGUGUCAUUGUAAAUGCAGAUUUAUGGAAAAUUCUGUAUGGCUAGAUAUCAGAUUGUGCAACAGGCAGCUCUCCUUGUUUCUACCUUAACAUAGUGAAAGGAAAGUCAGGUGAGACUUAUCAUCUAGUUGAGCGUGACCGUUUGAACGGAUAACAUCGCGCUUUAACAUCUUCUUUGGUUUUGCAUCCGACUAUCGCUACACUUCCAGAAAUUACAGAUUCCAAGAGUAAA